rnacentral:rRNA from 1 species
UGCCUAGGAAGUUGCCCGGUAGAGGGGGAUAACCAUUGGAAACGAUGGCUAAUACCGCAUAAUCUCUAUGGAGCAAAGCAGGGGACCUUCGGGCCUUGUGCUACCGGAUACGCCUAGGUGGGAUUAGCUAGUUGGUGAGGUAAUGGCUCACCAAGGCGACGAUCCCUAGCUGGUCUGAGAGGAUGAUCAGCCACACUGGAACUGAGACACGGUCCAGACUCCUACGGGAGGCAGCAGUGGGGAAUAUUGCACAAUGGGCGAAAGCCUGAUGCAGCCAUGCCGCGUGUAUGAAGAAGGCCU